GUUGGAAGUGGGAAGUUGAAAAGGUUGGGUCGGUGGUGUAUCGACGCUUUAUAUUAUCCCCUUCUUCGCUCUUCCAUUCUUCACUCCUCCGACUCUUCUCCAAACUGCCGGAGACUCAUCCCGAUCUCUGUAACUCUGUUUCCCUGAGACCCAAGUAACUACCCCAUCCUUCGUCGGACACUCACAACCAUGUCUGCAAUCCAAAGAAAUUAUCAAGGUCCUCUGUAAGUUUUCAUUCUUAUCAUUUUUCUCUUCUGCCUUUUAUUUUAGUUCUCUAGGGUUUUUCUCUAAUUGAAGAUGUUGAAAUUUCCUCUGUAUGUAUAGCUAAGAAAAAAAAAUCCAAGCUGUUUUUUUUUUAGUUUUCUUUCUUCUGAUUGGGGUUUCUACUAUUACCCGGUCUCUUUCAUGGUCUUUCCGUUGGCGGGUUAAAAUCUGUUUUUCUAACUGCACAAGUUGUAUUGCAACAUAAAAACAGAAGGAAACUACAUAGUUUUUCUGUAGUUUUGUUGGGGUUUUCUUCUCUUAUCUUUUUAAUAGGUUUUCUGUUUUCUGUAAAUUCUUGAUUAAGCGUGUCUGGAAGGCUUAUUUCAGAAUAUGUUUAUGUGGUUUUGUUGAUCAUUCGAUCAUGUAUUGUGUGUUUGGAUGGUUUUUUGUUGGUCGUUUGAGAAUGCAUUUCAGAUUCUGUCAGCAUUCUUAUGAAUAACCAAAACCAAUUUUCAUAUCACGAUGCUCUAAUCAAAUCUCUUUUGUGGGUGUGUGAGCAUGGAAGACUCCAUCACCUAAUGUUGAUUAUGUUUCCUAUUUCUCGUCCACUGAUUUGAAUAUACUAAUAAGAUGAUAACUUUGGUCAAAAUCUGGGAUGUAAGAUCAUCAACAAGCCAAAGAAACAGCAAUACCAGAAGGUAUCUAAGCCCUAAGAACCCAAGAUUCUUGCACAAAUGUUCAACCUCCAUCUCUUCAAUUAAAUGCCUGGUAAAUCAGUUGAAGCUCAGACAUCAAAAUUGAACUAGCAACUUGGUUAGGUUGAGAUAGACUUUAACUUGUAUCCAAAUGAAGUUCAGGAAAUGCUUCAUUGAAGAGGAUCUACUUUUCCUCUACACAUGCUCAUAUCAGUUUUUCUCUCAAAUAUUCUGAUUUGUUAAACGUGCAGACCCCUGAGAUUCUUCAGUUGUCAAAGAAGAAGAUUAAGGAGAAGCUAAAAGAAGUUGAUCAAAAUGGGUAAGCAUUCCCUCCUCUUUUACUUCUAUUGUGGAGGAGUCUGGGAGUUUCCUGCUACAGUUUAACAUGUCCUUUUUAUCAGGAUCAACAUGGACUGAUUGCUUCUUCUGUUUCCCAUGACUUCAGAUCCAAUUCAAAAGGCAAGUAAAUUUACACUUGUACAACAACAAACUACAAUUCUUCUAAUAAAAAUUAUCACACGUUUAUGGGAAUUCGGAUACGAUAAAACAAAAAUGUUUGGAAAUUGUUCAACCUUUGAAGUUAGACACUGAAGACUGCAUGGAAAACUCCUUGAGCACUUAUUUAGUACACCUGGGGAAAAUAAAGGGCAAAUGGUGUGGUUCAAAUGUAAAAAACAAGUCAAUAUAGAGAGGUCGUCUAAGGAAGCAUAACAAGUUUGUAAAGAGGUGAAUAUAUAGUUUGAGGCUGCAUAUAACCAAGUGGCUAUUUCUUUUAGAUUGAGGUUGCAUGUUUGUGAGGCACUUACAUUAAUGGGAAAUGAAUCAAAAGAAGCAGAUGUUGCAUCUAUGAUCAAAACAGUGAGCCAUAAUUCUUCAUUUAAAAAACUUGUGGAAUUUUGUUGACCUUAAACUCAUUACAGGUUGUGUGUUUGUGAGGCACUUACAUCUAUGAUCUUUUACCUCUCAGUUUUGUAGGUCAUGUAGCCUUUAAUCAAUUUGUAUAGUAGUUACAGGUGAAUGGCAUUCCUCCUGGAUUUAUUUCAACUCAUAAUAACAGACUUAAACAUCUCUCUCCAAUAACAUGAUUAAUAUUUCAUGAUUUCUGCCAUUUGCUUAUUGAUUUCUUUGCCAUAUGAACUGUUGGUUUUUUUAGGUGUUUGGUUAUGCAGUGUUGUCAUGACUGCAGUGAAGUCAUCUGGUGGUCUAAGAGAUACUUUUUAACAAAAUGAAAGACAAACAUGGCCAUCACUAUUGUCUUCUGAUGUCAUGGAAUUUCUUAAAGUCUUAAGAUGGAGCAAGGUGAGGAAAUUAGUUUAAGUGGGAUCUGAAUGCCACCUACUGAAGGGAAAGGUUUGUAGGUGGUGCUCCAAGACAUUCCUGUUAUCUGGUUUCAUCAGAAGAAGAGUCUAAUGUACAUGUAGUGUUAUUUUGAUAUACAUACAUACAUACAUACAUACAUACAAGUUAACGAGUUUAAUAGUUAAGAAACUGGAUUUUUGGAGAAAAUAUGCAACCUAUAACCAAUAUAUGAAACAUUUUAGGAUUGAUUAUAACAUUGUCGUCUUAAAACAUGAAACAUUGUUAAAAUGUGAAUAUGUUCUCUUUGCAAUCGGAGCAAUUCUGAUAACUGGUCUAAAUGUUCACUUGGUUUUUUGUUGGCAUCUAAUACAAAGAAAAUAUAAACUUAUAGGGAUUUUGAUGGUCUAUGAAGGCUUUGCUAUUUUAACAACUUAUAGUCAAUAUUGCUUAUUAUAAAGAUUGUUAUUAUGAAAGUUGUUUUUACCUCUUAAUGCUUUAAAAUGUGUCUGAAUAUGUUAGAGAUAAAGAUAUGCAGCUGAAAAUCAACCAAAACUUACAAUGAGGAUGGCCAAGUGAGCAAUCUUGAAUCAUUCUUGUUUAUGUAUUUCCAGAAAUACCCUUUUGUUUUUAAAAUGUGUGCUUAUUUUUUUGUUAUCUUCAGGAAAUUAUGUGUUUUUAUAAUAAAAAAGAUGUUGAAUACUGCAUGGAAAACUCCUUGAGCACUUAUUUAGUUCACCUGGUAAUUAUUUACAAAAGAUAUUUUGUUAUUUAGCCAACUCUUUAUGUAAAAAACAAGUGGUCAAUAUAGAGAAGUAAUAAUCAUUUGUCUUUUGUGCAUAAAAAUAUUUUUUAUAUAUGAGAAUUUUGUUAAAAACUUCAAUUUUUGCAGGAAUCACUUCAUUCAGCCGUGAUUCUUGAAUAAAAAGCAUCUAUGUUAUUGUUACCCUUUAUUUUAGCCAAACCAAUUAUGGUGAGAAAGUAUGGAUUUACGCCUCGUUCCCGAGUUUAACAAAAGAAAAGAAGAGAAGAGAAAAGAAAGUCAUGAGAGAAAAGAAGAGAAAGGAAAUGAAAACAAAAUUUUCUUUUGUGUUCCCGAGUUGGAGAGAAGUGGAAGGAAAAUGAAUAAUUUUGUUCUUUCUUUCCAAAUCCUCCCAAAUCGGAAGGAAAGUUAGGAGAGAAAGUGAUCCUCCCAUUUCCCUCCACUUCCUUCCACUUCUCUCCUUUAAUGAAACUCGGGAACACAAAUUUCUUAUAUUUUAUUCUUAUUUCCACCCAUUUCCUUUCCUUUCUCUCGUUAAGUUGCACUCGGGAACGGGGUGUUAAUCUCAUUCUUUCUGGUGAUUUGUACAAGAAAUACGAUCAGGUAUUGUAACUUCUGUUAAUAAUUUAAAAGUGUAUUUUACUCUUUAUUCUAAGUUUGUGUGCUUUAUAUUCUUCUGACAAGUUGCGCCUUUUUUUUAGCAGAUGAAACAUGCGUGUGCAUAAAGAAACACACUUUUUUCCUUUAAAGUUUAAAAGAACAACAUGGAGUCAUAUUCAGGAACAUGUCCAUUUUCAUAUAGGACAAUAAGCUCUAAAUAUAAUACGCUGAAAUGGUUGAAAAUUACAUUAUUACCCUCAUUGGACAUAGGUGGUAGGCUUGUAGGAAUCAAUUUCAAAGCCAAGCAAUGCUGAUGAAUGCGUACUCUGAUCGAUUGACACGGGGUUUAAUAUAAUAAAUAGUCUAAUUGAAAAAUCAAAAGGUGAAACACAUCACCUCUGCUCAAUGGCGCAACAAAACCAAACAGUCGGUGAGUUUUUCACUGGUAACUCUCUCUCACUCUCUAAAACGCAUAUAAUAGAAUUCGCUAAACCCUUAAAAGUUUCAUUUGGUUUAUUAAAUCUUGGAUUCAUUGUGUGUAAGCAUCUAUGUAAAAUACGUUUCACACAUAUAAAAGUAUUUAUUAAAUCUUGGCAUUUCAAAUUUUGGGGAUUAUGUUCUGAAGGGACUUUCACGAAGGUUAGGAUUUGAAUCAUCAAAUCGAGAGACAGUUGUACAUUUUUUUUAUCAACUCUAGAUUUCAUAUUCAUUCAUAUACACAUUUGUUUUGCUCUCAUUUCAUCACCAUAGUUACUGAUUUUUUUUACUGUGGUAGUUGUAGAACAAGGGCACAGUGUCGUUCUUCCAGAGAAAGGGGAAUAUUUUGCUCUAAAUUUCUACCCGUCUAAGUUGACUAUAUUAUACUUUCUUCACUUAAGUUGUAUAUAUUUGAAAAAAAAAUACAUCAACCAUUUGCUUCCACUAUAGGGGUAUGCAUCUGAAACCUUCUGAGAUUAUAAGUACUUGAUGGAGGUAUUGGAGAGUGUGUUAAUUAAGUAGUGUAUGGUUAUUAUAUAAAGGAGGAUUGGAUACAAGUAGUUUAUCUGCAUUUUUUUGGUUAAUUAUGCAAUGCAACCUUGCCUAAAGAAGCAGAACAAGUUUGUUUACCUUGUAAUAAAUUGCGACUGCAUAUAAUGUAAGUGGCUAUUUCGUCUAAUAUGUGUCCUGUUUUUAUACAAACUAUGUAGAUAUCAAUGAGGUGUUCCUCAGGAUUAUGCACAACACUCAGCUGAAAAAGUUUAUGAAUGUAUACAGUGAUAAAAGGAGCAAACUCCUUAAUUUGGUAAAUUCCUUAACAAUGUGUAACUACUCUUUUUUCAUUGUCUAAUUAUCUCUUGAAAAAUAAAAUAAAAAAGCUUAUGGUAUGUACAGACUUUUGUAUUUAUUUUACCUUCAUGAGAUGUAUACUUUUUUGUGGAUGCAGCUUAAGAUGAAAUUGAUUUAAUGCUGAUAAUGCACAGGUCGUCUAAAAACUAGUUUAUAUGGUACUUUUGAUGUGAAGUUGCAAGAUUUACAUAUAGGUUGAAGAGUUGAAUGGUUAUUAUAUACACAACAAACUAAAUAUGCAACCUAUAACCAAUUUAUGCAAUAUUUUAGGAUUGUUAAAUGAGAAUCAGAUCUCUUUGCAAUCGGAGCAAAUCUGAUAAGUGUUCCAAAUCUUCACUUUGAUUUUGAUUGCAUCCAUUACAAUGAAAAUAUAAAUGUAUAAGGCUUUGUUGUUUUAACAAGUUAUAACACUCUUAAGUCAAUGUUGCUUAUUAUAAAGAUUGUUAUUACGAAAGCUGAAUUAACAAUGUGUCUGAAUAUGUUUGAGAUAAAGAUAUGGUGUGAAGUUGCAGCUGAAAAUUAACCAAAACUUACAAUGAAGAAUCCUUAAAUACCCCUCUGUUUAGUAUUUCUGGUAAUUCUUUACAAAAGAUAUUUGUUAUUUAGUCAAUUUUUAUAUUUAUUUAAAAAGUGUACUUUUUUAUUUAAUAAGUUGGGAGUUGGGACAUCAGGGAAAGGAAAUGCCACAUGGUGAAUGAGGUAAUAAUCAAUCGGUCAAUAUAAUGAAUGAGGUAAUAAUCAAUUCUCUUUUGUGAAUAAAAGUAUUAAUUACAUAUAUGAGAAUUUUUGGUAAAUAACUUCAAUUUUUUAGCUGGACUCUCUUCAUUCAGAUGUAUUGAUUGAACAUGCAUUUUAUUAUUACCUUUUAUUUUAGCCAAACCAAAUAUGUUAAGAAAGUAUGGAUUUCAUGUCAUUCACUGUAUUAUACUUUCUUCACUGAAAUUGUAUAUAUUUGGAAAAAAAAUACAUCAACCAUUUGCUUCUGCUUAAGGUAUGCAUCUGAGUAUUUGAUGGAGGUAUUGGAGAGUGUGUUAAUUAAGUAGUGUAUGGUUAUUAAUUAUAUAAGGAGGAUUGGAUACUAGUAGUUUGUUUAUCUGCAUUUGCUUUAUAAGAUACAAAUAAAUAUUCAGAAGCAGGUUAGCCAAUUAAGUAUUAGUUUUUUGUGUUAAUAAUAGCCAAGGCAUGUAUGUGACUGUUGUUGUAUACUAAUUUCUCCUUGUUAAGUUGAAUUGUAUAACAUUGCAUCAGGAAUCCUGUGUUGGAAUUGUCCCUUGGUUUUAUCCCCUAUUUGUAAUCUUGCAGGUUCAGAUGCUAUUGUGAAUCACUUUUCUACAUAAGCCACAUUUUUUGUGCCACAGAUAUUGCUUAGUGUAAGUUUCACACUUUAAAACUUUUAAAUAAAUGCUUAAAUUUGUGAUUAGUUGCUGAUAGUGGCAUGCAUGAUGUGAUGGUUAAUCUUUUCUUAUCAAUUAAUUGCACUGAUAAGAUUCUUUACUGAUAUUGACUGUUAGUUGAUAUAUAGGUGGUUGGAGGGUUAGCUGAGCUAAUGCCAUGUGCAAUUUAGUGUUUGACUUUCGCUAACUCUGUCUUGUUAUCAUGAAAACAGACUGAUGAGUUUCUGAUUUGAGUCGGUAAGGCUUAGUGAAGUCAUUUGGUGGUCUAAGAGAAAGACUAUUUAAUAAUGCAAAGAGACAAGCAUUACUUAAAGUUAAAGGUAGCAAUUUACAAAGUUUUCUUCACAACUUUUAUGUUUUUUCCAUACUUUAAAGAUUAUAUAUAAAAUGUCUGAUAGUAUAUCAUUCAGACAAGAAUACAUCUCCUGAUAUCGUUGAUUUUCUGAAAGUGCAAGUUAUUUUUAGGGCUAAAUGCAAUAAACAACAACUUACUUUCCUUUGUUUGUGUUUUAUAGCAUCCUAUUUCCGUUUCUUUCUAUUAUAGUAUUGUACUUUCAACUUUUUUUUUCUGUAAAAUCUGAUUUUCUAACUGCACUAGUUGUAUUGCAACUUAAAAACAGAAGGAAAUUACAUAGUUUUUUUUGUAGUUAUGUUGAUCUUUUCCCUUAUCUUUUUUUUUGGGUUAUUUUCCUGGUAGGUUUGUUUUAGAGUGUGUUUUUGUUGAUACUUUGAUAUUUUUUUGUGUGUGGGUAAGCGAUCCGUCACUUAACUUUUUACUUGUUUCUCUUCCAUUGAUUUUCAUUUUACUAAGAAGAAAAAGGUAGUCCCACUCCCAUCAAGUGUAUUUUAGUAUUUUAUUUGCAUCUGUUUACCAUGCAUGUUUAAAAUAUUUUCAAGGAAGAAUAAUUAAUAUAAUGUCUGUUGUUAGCAA